AACGAACGCUGGCGGCAUGCCUAACACAUGCAAGUCGAACGAGAUCUUCGGGUCUAGUGGCGCACGGGUGCGUAACGCGUGGGAAUCUGCCCUUUGGUUCGGAAUAACAGUUGGAAACGACUGCUAAUACCGGAUGAUGACGAAAGUCCAAAGAUUUAUCGCCAGAGGAUGAGCCCGCGUAGGAUUAGCUAGUUGGUGUGGUAAAGGCGCACCAAGGCGACGAUCCUUAGCUGGUCUGAGAGGAUGAUCAGCCACACUGGGACUGAGACACGGCCCAGACUCCUACGGGAGGCAGCAGUGGUGAAUAUUGGACAAUGGGCGAAAGCCUGAUCCAGCAAUGCCGCGUGGGUGUUGAAGGCCUUAGGGUUGUAAAGCUCUUUUACCCGGGAUGAUAAUGACAGUACCGGGAGAAUAAGCUCCGGCUAACUCCGUGCCAGCAGCCGCAGUAA
rnacentral:rRNA from 1 species